GGCCUUCGGGUUGUAAACUGCUUUUGUACGGAACGAAAAGGCCCUGGUGAACAACCGGGGUUGCUGACGGUACCGUAAGAAUAAGCACCGGCUAACUACGUGCCAGCAGCCGCGGUAAUACGUAGGGUGCGAGCGUUAAUCGGAAUUACUGGGCGUAAAGCGUGCGCAGGCGGACAUGCAAGACAGAUGUGAAAUCCCCGGGCUCAACCUGGGAACUGCAUAUGUGACUGUAUGACUGGAGUACCGGCAGAGGGGGAUGGAAUUCCGCGUGUAGCAGUGAAAUGCGUAGAUAUGCCGGAGGAACACCGAUGGCGAAGGCAAUCCCCUGGGCCAGUACUGACGCUCAUGCACGAAAGCGUGGGGAGCAAACAGGAUUAGAUACCCUGGUAGUCC
rnacentral:rRNA from 1 species